rnacentral:rRNA from 1 species
UGGGGAAUUUUGGACAAUGGGCGCAAGCCUGAUCCAGCAAUGCCGCGUGCAGGAUGAAGGCCUUCGGGUUGUAAACUGCUUUUGUACGGAACGAAAAGCCUCUCUCUAAUACAGGGGGGUGAUGACGGUACCGUAAGAAUAAGCACCGGCUAACUACGUGCCAGCAGCCGCGGUAAUACGUAGGGUGCAAGCGUUAAUCGGAAUUACUGGGCGUAAAGCGUGCGCAGGCGGUUUUGUAAGGCAGUGGUGAAAUCCCCGGGCUCAACCUGGGAACUGCCAUUGUGACUGCAAGGCUGGAGUGCGGCAGAGGGGGAUGGAAUUCCGCGUGUAGCAGUGAAAUGCGUAGAUAUGCGGAGGAACACCGAUGGCGAAGGCAAUCCCCUGGGCCUGCACUGACGCUCAUGCACGAAAGCGUGGGGAGCAAACAGGAUUAGAUACCCUGGUAGUCCACGCCCUAAACGAUGUCAACUGGUUGUUGGGGAUUUAUUUCUUCAGUAACGAAGCUAACGCGUGAAGUUGACCGCCUGGGGGAGUACGGCCGCAAGGUUAAAAACUUAAAAUGAAUUGACGGGGUCAUAGC